rnacentral:rRNA from 1 species
CUCGUAGGCGGUUCGUCGCGUCCGGUGUGAAAGUCCAUCGCUUAACGGUGGAUCCGCGCCGGGUACGGGCGGGCUUGAGUGCGGUAGGGGAGGCUGGAAUUCCCGGUGUAACGGUGGAAUGUGUAGAUAUCGGGAAGAACACCAAUGGCGAAGGCAGGUCUCUGGGCCGUCACUGACGCUGAGGAGCGAAAGCGUGGGGAGCGAACA